rfam:Dipodomys ordii contig_76632, whole genome shotgun sequence.
GGGAAAGUGGCUCAGUGGUAGAGUGCUUGCCUUGCAUGCAUGAGACCCUGGGUUCGAUUCCUCAGCACCA